rnacentral:ncRNA from 1 species
CAACUUGAGAGUUUGAUCCUGGCUCAGAACGAACGCUGGCGGCAUGCCUAACACAUGCAAGUCGAACGAAGGCUUCGGCCUUAGUGG